rnacentral:lncRNA from 1 species
AGCAAGCAAAGGCUCUAGCAGCUCAGCCAGCUGCUUGUGGCUGGAAAGCCAGACAGGAUGUUUGUGACUGUUGCCAUGGGAACAAAGGGGCAGUCCAUUCUGUACUGAGCACCGGAUGUUAGCUCAGUGUGUGUGUGUCAUAUGACCCGUACUGGAUGUACUUGGGAGGAGUUUUCUUCUUGCUGUUGUUGAGUGCAGACAUGAUUCUCUGUACUGAUGUAAGAGGCAGAAAUAAAUGAUGUAAAUAGUUUUCUGUCUGCUUCUUUCCCUCCCUGGGGACACCAAAGGGAGAGAGGAAGAACGGUGUGUUCCUCUCAUACAUCUGAGAAGAAUCGCUGGACCUCGCCUGCUUAUCAGCAGAGUGGAGACGCGGGGAGGUCGACAGGAAUAUCUGCCGGUGCCUACGCUGUGGCACAUUCCUCUGACCCAGGCAGAAUUCCAACAGUGGUAGCAGAGGAUGGUUGCGAUUCAUCGGACAUCUGCAUGAGAGGCUGGUGGAUUGUCCUCCUCUGCUCCAAGGAGGAAGAGAAAAGCGUCUGAAAGAAGCCAGAGGCUCCACAGACAGCUGAUGGAAAGAAGAGGUGUUUUCCAGAGCAACAAAGUUCAAGGUAUGCUGCAUUUCGGGCUAAAAGUGUGAACGCAGGAAGAUUAAUUCCCUGGUUCACGGAGCUGCGUUUCAAAGAAAACAAAAGCUCCGGAGGAAGAGGCCUGCAGCUUGAAGGCUGAAGCCUGCAUUCCACAAAUUUUUGUGGUAGAUAAGAAGUCCUAUUGAAAUGCAUUGUUGCUAGGUAACGGUCCUGGAAAGUUACUGGCAAAGGGGCUGGACUCUGAGUGUAAGCCUGGGAAAGCGAAACAAAACCAGAGAAUGUUUUGGCUACAAGGUUUACGAGCUCUUGGAAGGGACUUUUCAAUAGCAGCCUGAGUUUAGCUGCCAGGUGCAAAGAGCGUAAACAAUUUGCAGUUUGCUGCGUGAGAAAGGAAAAAACAACUGUUGGAUUUUACAGUUUGUUUGACAGCGUGAAAGAGGCUUGGCUUCAAGAUGGAUGCCAAGAAAGGGGAGGUUUGCCUUGCCCACCUCCCUUAACCAAUGACAAUUAUUCAUCUUGGUCUGUAAAGAUGAAGGCCCUGCUGCAGAAUCAGAGGCUUUUUGAUGUAAUUGAAAACCCCAUCCCUGCAGCACCAACCAGAGGUUGGGAGUCACAGAAUGUAAGGGCCAGGACUGCUAUAAUUCUGUGUGUCUCAGAUGAUCAGUUGGUGCAUGUUCAGCAUUUAGAAAAUGCGAAAGAGGUAUGGGACACGCUGCGUACAACGCAUCAGAGAGAUGCUGGUUCUUCAGCGUUGCUGUAUUUUGAGAAAUUGACCAAUCUGAGACUUGCGCCUGAUGGAGAUGUUCAAGCGCACCUGACAGAAAUGAAGUUUCUGCGUCAACAGAUGGUGGAACGCAAUUUUCGUCUUCAGGAGGAAGUGUUUUGCUUCAUGAUGAUAAACAGCCUUAGCCGCACCUACAAGGUUGUUGCCAGUCAGCUUGGUUCCCUACCGGCCGCGCAGCUGACCGCGGAGAGAGUUUGUGCUGUGGUCCUGAAUGAACACGACAGACUUGCUGCACUGGAAGAAAAAGACAGGGGGAGGGAAGAACAGAGUUCUAAUUCCCCACUGCUGAUGCUACUGGGGAGCAUGGUGUAGCAUUGAGUGCUGUCCGAUGCUACAAUUGUGGACAGACUGGGCAUCUACAGCGAAACUGUAAGAAGCCGCGCCAGUCAAGAGGAGCAAAGAGCAGCUCUACGAAGCCUCAGGCGUCAGGCAAAAGCCGUACCAAGUGCCAGGUGAAACCUGCAAAGGCUAUGAUGGCGAAAGGAACCACGCCAGAUGUUGGGAACUCGUUCAUAAUCGACACGGGCUGUACGAAACAUUUGUGCCCGCACAGAGGACUAUUUUCGACGUUGAGGAAGCAAAGCUUCACUGUGAAACAGGCCAACGGUCAGGAGUUGGAAGCGACUGGAAUUGGGACUGUGUAUCUUGAGAGUCUGAACUUGACUAUAAGUGAUGUUUACCUGGUUCCAGAACUGAGAUUUAAUCUGCUGAGCGUGUCGCAGAUUGCAAAGAAAGGACUGAAACUGUCCUAUGAUGCUAAAAGCUGCAAGAUCUACAAAGAUGGAGAACUGUUUCUUACUGCCAAAGAGAAAGAUGGACUGUAUUUGUUGACUUUUGAUCAAAGUGAUUACAUGAAAUGUAAUUCUGCUGUUUCUAACGAAAUCUCUCUUGCAGGUGUGACCAGUGUGAGCACCAGGAAGGUGACUAAGACGAAGAAGGUCAACAGAGCAUUUCAGCGGGUGUAUGCUGAUGUGAUUGGUCCUCUAGAACCAUCUAGAGGCGGUGCACGAUUUUACCUUGUGUGUGUGGAUUGUUUCACUAAUUAUUCUUGGGUUUAUAUGAUGGAGAAACCGCAAGAAACUUUAGAAAAGUUUCAGGAGUUUUGUGACAAGGUUAAAAGUAUGCAUGAUGCUAACAUUGAUUGUCUUUUCACAGAUGAGAAGCAAAUUUUUCUGUUGCAGAAGUUUCAGAAGUUCCUGGAUGGAAAAGGAUAGACCACAAAGUGGCUGUUUCGCAAGAAGCGUGGAACAGGGGGGUCUGUGUAAAAGUGAACAAAGAAUUGCAAAAGGGGAUGAAUGCGCAAUUGCUGAGUUCACAUUUGCCACAUGAAUAUUGGGCUGAGUCGCUAGCGUCCUAUCUUCAUGUGUGGUUGAGAAAGGUCUCAACAGAGUUGGGAUGUUCUCCUUUUGAGAAGCUGUUCAAUAGAAAACCUUCUGUUGCCUAUUUUAAGGUUUUCGGGUCUCAUGUGAGAACAGAAGCUCCAGGUGGAGUAAAGAAUGCCAGAGGCAUUUUUGUGGGUUAUGAAAAAGGUCUCUACAGAGUAAUUUUGUCUGAAUCUGGUCAGGUGAUUCUCACAAAGUUCCUAGAGAGUGCUCCAAAGCAAGAGCGGAUAGUACAGACAUUUCCCACAGGAACGAUUCUGAUGAUGAUGAUGAUGAGUUUGAUCUUAUUGAGUUCAGUAGUACUGAUGAUGACACUGAUAGCUCAGAGAGUUCAGUUGUAACAGUCAUUGAGAGGAAAUCUCACACAAUGGAUAGACCUUCACAGGUGAAGGAAGAACCACUGAUUGCUACUGGUUCUCAACAGAGUCCAAAGGUUGAACCAGUGAGCACAGAGGAUCAGAACCUCAUACGUAGGUCUGAGAGAGCAACGAAGGGUGUACCACCCAAGAGGUAUUCAAAGGAGUUUGCUAACCUUGCAUAUGUUGCUAUUGUAAACGACCAAGGACAGAUUGAAGCUGUGUCUGAGUCAGAGACAAAGGCACAACAGAGAGUGUUAACCAAGGUAAUGCGAAGUCACACAACCAGAGAGGUACAUUGGUUAAACCAGUGGCGGGUAGUUCCAAGGGUGGAACUGAAACAACAGGGAAUGUUAUAAAUAUAACAACUGUUUGUUUUCUUCUCUGGAUGACGCUUUGCUCGCGGCACACAUUGAUACUUUAGGGGAGUAUGUUACCAUAAAGCACCAAUGCUGCAGCAAGCAAAGGCUCUAGCAGCUCAGCCAGCUGCUUGUGGCUGGAAAGCCAGACAGGAUGUUUGUGACUGUUGCCAUGGGAACAAAGGGGCAGUCCAUUCUGUACUGAGCACCGGAUGUUAGCUCAGUGUGUGUGUGUCAUAUGACCCGUACUGGAUGUACUUGGGAGGAGUUUUCUUCUUGCUGUUGUUGAGUGCAGACAUGAUUCUCUGUACUGAUGUAAGAGGCAGAAAUAAAUGAUGUAAAUAGUUUUCUGUCUGCUUCUUUCCCUCCCUGGGGACACCAAAGGGGAGAGAGGAAGAACGGUGUGUUCCUCUCAUACAUCUGAGAAGAAUCGCCGGACCUCGCCUGCUUAUCAGCAGAGUGGAGACGCGGGGAGGUCGACAGGAAUAUCUGCCGGUGCCUACGCUGUGGCACAUUCCUCUGACCCAGGCAGAAUUCCAACAGGGGGAAU